UACAGAGGGUGCAAGCGUUGUUCGGAAUUAUUGGGCAUAAAGGGCGCGUAGGUGGUGCGGUAAGUCACCUGUGAAAUCUCUGGGCUUAACUCAGAGCCUGCAGGCGAAACUGCCGUGCUUGAGUGUGGGAGAGGUGCGUGGAAUUCCCGGUGUAGCGGUGAAAUGCGUAGAUAUCGUAAGGAAGACCAGUGGCGAAGGCGGGUCUCUGGACAGUUCCUGACGCUGAGGCACGAAGGUCAGGGGAGCAAACGGG
rnacentral:rRNA from 1 species